CAAUAGCGUAUAUUAAAGUUGUUGCGGUUAAAAAGCUCGUAGUUGGAUUUCUGCCGAGGACGACCGGUCCGCCCUCUGGGUGAGCAUCUGGCUCGGCCUGGGCAUCUUCUUGGAGAACGUAUCUGCACUUGACUGUGUGGUGCGGUAUUCAGGACUUUUACUUUGAGGAAAUUAGAGUGUUUCAAGCAGGCACACGCCUUGAAUACAUUAGCAUGGAAUAAUAAGAUAGGACCUCGGUUCUAUUUUGUUGGUUUCUAGAUCUGAGGUAAUGAUUAAUAGGGAUAGUUGGGGGCAUUCGUAUUUAACUGUCAGAGGUGGAAUUCUUGGAUUUGUUAAAGACGGACUACUGCGAAAGCAUUUGCCAAGGAUGUUUUCAUUGA
rnacentral:rRNA from 1 species